AAGUACUUGAAGGAUAAGAAGUCUGGGGCUUCUUCUUCAGGGACUAAGAAGGAGUAGAACCUUGGCUAAAGGAGAGGUGGAACUGCGAGUUGGAAAUGGUGCAAGAGUUGCCGCCGUUGCAGUUGGGACUUAUAGUCUACCUUUGCCUUCUGGAUUAAUAUUAGAGCUUAAUAAUUGUUAUUACGUUCCUGCUAUUACCAAAAACAUUAUUUCUAUUCCUGUUUUGGAUAAUGAAGGGUUUUCAUUUACAAUUGAGAAAGGUUGUUUCUCUGUUUA